GCCCGGGCUGGGUGGCAGGUCCGGUAGUUCCUCAGGGAAGUCUGGGCUGGCUUGCUCCGGUGGUUCCUCCGGUUAACAGCAGGGCUGGGGGGGCUCCAGCGGCUCCUCCGGGUAGCAGGCGUGGGGAAGCUCUGGCAGCUCCUCCAAGUAGCGGGUGCGGGGAAGCUCCAAUCAGGGUUCUCAG